CUUGUGAUGAUUGGCAUCAUUAUCGCUGUGCUAUCCUCCCACUUAAUGUUUCAUCGAUUCUUUACUUAUUUGGUGAAUAGAGAAACGAGUUUCAACUCUUUCUUACUUGUCUUAGGUAAAGCGUGAUGGUAUUGCGCCUCUCACCGAAAACAUUGCCAAGCAGGAAGUUUGACUGGAGAGGUACGUCUGUCAAACUGUAACGCAAGUGUCCUAAGGCUAGCACCGAGAGCGCGAAAACCUCUUGUAGAGCAAAACUGCAAAAGCUCAUUUGAUUUUAACUUUCAGUACGAGAGUAGGCCUUGAAAACGUGGCUUAUCGAUCCUUCUAGUCAAGAUGGUUUCCGGUAAGAGGUGUCAGAAAAGUUGCCACAAGGGUAUUUAUCCUGUAGUAGCUAAGCGUCCAUACCGACGUUGCUCUCUGAUCCUUCGAUGUUGGUUCGUUUAUUGCUGCAAAACAGGCCUGAUAAGCGUUGGAUUAUUCACCCACUAAUAGCGUACGUAAGCUGGGUUUAGACCCUUGUGAAACAAGUUA
rnacentral:ncRNA from 1 species